AUUGAACGCUGGCGGCAUGCCUUACACAUGCAAGUCGAGCGGCAGCGCGGGGGCAACCCUGGCGGCGAGCGGCGGACGGGUGAGUAAUACAUCGGAACGUGUCCUUUUGUGGGGGAUAACCAGUCGAAAGACUGGCUAAUACCGCAUGAGAUCUCACGAUGAAAGCGGGGGACCCGUAAGGGCCUCGCGCGAUUGGAGCGGCCGAUGUCGGAUUAGCUAGUUGGCGGGGUAAAAGCCCACCAAGGCAACGAUCCGUAGCUGGUUUGAGAGAACGACCAGCCACACUGGGACUGAGACACGGCCCAGACUCCUACGGGAGGCCAGCAGUGGGGAAUUUUGGACAAUGGGGGCAACCCUGAUCCAGCCAUGCCGCGUGUGUGAAGAAGGCCUUCGGGUUGUAAAGCACUUUCGGCCGGAACGAAAUCGCGCGGGCUAUUACCCCGCGUGGAUGACGGUA
rnacentral:rRNA from 1 species